CCUAGUCCAACCCUUACCAUUUCCUUUCAAUCCUUCCCUCUUAUAUAUCGGGAAAAUGAUGCUAAAAACAAAUUGAUGGCAAGGCACAAAUCUCCAAAUAUCAAGGGGAACGUGCCAUUUGAGCCAAUUUGUUCUGAUUCCUGAUUCCUGAUUCCUGAUACACUCCCGCUUUCGAGCUACCGUAGAUCGAAUCGGGUAAGAUGGAGGAGUUGAAUCGGUUGGGAUGAUUACUCUUGCCUUAUCAACCAAACAGCCCUUUAUAGCAAUCAGAGAUGUGUAGCUUGCAUGCAAGUUGAAGAAAAUUUGUAGAUUUCAUCAUAGCCGCCCCCCUUGAAAUCACAUUUCAAAACAAUAACAAAUCAAAAUCUUAGCUUAACUUAAUCCUAUCAUAAAUUUUUUUAAUCUAACAAGACUUUCCAAGCAGGAGCAAAGAAACAAUACGGAGGUAUGGUGGUAUCCAUUUUAACCAUUGUUGUGGGAUGUUUGGAUGCUCAUUUCAGUUGUUCCAACUUAUUGAUAUCUCCAAAAAGUGACUUCUUGCGAUGUAGGAAUGUUGCCAUGGUGGUGCUCAAAGGUACAGUUUAUAUCGUUCCAGACAUGAAACAACAAAAAGAUACAGGUAGCAAUGAACGAUGAAAUAGAGUUCUUGGACAGGGACUCACCUGGUGAGCCUGUUUGAGCAGGCGUUGAAUAAGUGUGUAUUUUUUUUUAACUGCUUCCCUCCGGGGCAUGCGAAAUUGAACGCAUUUCAGAGGUAUUUGUGCAGUAGUCAUCUGGUAGCAAACAUAUUUUAGAUACAGGCCGGGUAUAAAUUCCGGUUGCUGUCCGUAUAGUAACGACUCGAGUUACUCCAUCAGGACCAGGAUGUACGUUAAUAACUCGAGCAAGGUGCCACUGAACGGGAGGGGAGUACUCAUCGCACAUAAUUACUACUGAACCAGGGCGUAUGAUAGUAGAUGUACGAUUCUGCUCUGAUGCUUGCAACUCCGAUAAUGAUCGAGCCUGUUCAGGUUAACGUUGCUUAAAUCCUCUUCUGGUAAGGCCUUCAUACUCGUUCCAAUCAAGAAGUGAGCCGGAGUAAGUACAUCUAUAUCAUUAGGAUCAUCCGUGAGCGGGGUCAAAGGACGAGAGUUCAAGGCAGCCGCUAUCUGAACUAAAAGAGUUUGCAUGUCUUCUAAAUGCAAUCGAUGGUGUCCCAAUUCUUUUUUAAUUGCAGAUUUUGCACAGCGAACCGCGGAUUCCCAUAACCCACCAAAAUUCGGCGCUCUAGGUGGUAUGAAGACCCAUUUAACUCCUUGAGUAGCGCAUUCGGUGGCUAUGCGUUUUCGACUAACAGGAUUGUUGAGCGUAUGAUACAGUUCAUAUAAUUCGUGUUUUGCUCCAGCAAAAUUCUUCCCAUUAUCAGAGUGAAUUUCUGCGGGCAAUCCAUGAUGUCCUAUGAAUCGACGAAGUGCUAACAGGAAACAGGCAGUUGUUAGGAGCAGCUUUUCGGUAGAGCGGUUUAAGAUAUAUGGGACCACAGUAAUCCACACCAGUAAUCGUAAAAGGACGACUAGGCCGAACUCGAGCAGCGGGUAAUUGCCCUAAAGGUUGCCGAACAGGAACCGGGUUUGCUCGGAAGCAUCGAUAGCAGUUUCUCAGAACUGACUUGACAGCUCUUUUCCCAUGCAAUGGCCAAAAUUCUUGUCUCACUAGCGCCAACGUUAACCGAUGACCACCAUGGGUACUGAGCUGAUGAUAAUGAAGAAUAAUCAAUUUGGUGAAAGGAUGGGAUGUAGGGAGAAUAGCUGGGUGUUUUGCAUCGUAUAACUCUCCAGAAUGGUGCAGCCGUCCUCCAACCCUUAUGAUGCCAUCAUUAUCCAAAAAUGGUUUUAAUAGUCGAAUUGUAGAUUUGCGAGAGACAAACCGAUUCGAUUCCAAAAGCUUAAGGUCAUCGUGGAACUGCUCUCGCUGAACCAACCUGAUAAGGGUCAAUUUAGAACGUUUUAGUUCCUUUAUCGAGAUGAAAUUUUCGGUUAUCCGGGUUUUGGGAUAGCGACAAUUUCCGACGAAACGAAUGCAGUAGGCAACAGUUCGCAGCAGUGUGAACAGAUUUGAAAAGCGGCUAAAUAAAGCAUUAGUAUCGGUAACAGCAGCCAAGGAGAUCUUAGGCUCUCUAAUUUCCAAUUCUUCCGAUGGAAUUUUGUUUACUUGAUAGUUCAUUGGCCAACUUUCUUUUUCAUUGCGAAUCCAUUCAGGCCCUUGUUGCCACAAAUUGCUAUGUAAAAACGUCUCUACCGCCAUGCCCCUAGAUACCAAAUCUGCGGGAUUCUCUUUUCCGGAAACAUGAUUCCACCUAUUCCCAAAAGUAAGGGUUUGAAUCUCUGAUACGCGAUUCCCUACGAAGGUUUUCCAAGUAUUAGGAGGAGAUUGCAGCCAGUGUAGCACGAUUGUUGAGUCGCACCAAAAAUAAGAUUUGGAUCCUGUCAUUCCCAUUGCCUUGAUAACUUUGGAGUAUAAUUUCGCUGCUUCCAGAGAAGCACACAAUUCUAGUCUUGGUAAUGUUAAUCGUUUGAGGGGAGCAACCCGUGAUUUUGCUGCAAUUAGUCUAACUUUAACCUGUUUGGAUUGAUUUUCACUACGGAUGUAUAAACACGCCCCAUACGCCUUCUCUGAUGCAUCUGAAAAUACGUGAACCUGGGUCGCGAUAGCUUCCUCAAUGAAAGCAUAACGAUCUACUUGCAGUUCAUUCAAAAGAUGUAGUUGAUCAUAAAAUUCGUUCCAGCGAAAUUCGAAUUGCAUUGGAAGGGAGUCAUCCCAUUUUACGUGAAGCAAUGCUAGCUCUUGCAUGAAUAUUUUUGCUUUUACGAUGACAGGAGCCGCCAUUCCCAAAGGAUCGAAUAGACGAGAAAUGACGGAGAGAAUUUUGCGUUUAGUCCAAGACGCAUGGU